UUUUUUUUAUUUUACAAUCAUUUAAAAUUAAAUUCUACGAUAAAAUUCGGUAAACAUAUGAACUACGAUUGUAAUUAAUAUUUUGUUUAAACUACGGAAAACCGUAAUAUUUCCGAUUAAAAUCGAUCAAAAUGUGUCGAACCGAACGCACGCCACUCGUUUUUGCUGUAAUACUUGUAAUGUUCGACCGUUGUGUAUGUAUUAAGUUUAUUGAUAUAUAAACUAAAUUGCUCUGUAUGUAUAUGUUUGCACCUUCUUGACAUCUCGCUUAUAACAGCGGCCUAUCCAGCAGCAGUAUCCUGUAACAGCGUACCAGGGGCUAUGGCACGAUUGAGCUUAACGUACCUUUUUCAACAGCAUA